UCAGGAGUGAGGCGGAGAACGCGUUCGGAGGGCUUCCACUGGGCGAAGACUGGGUCAGGGACGGCGAGGUUGCCGGAGCUCCGGCGACCUGCAUUAGAGAAGGCGGAGGUUGAGUUGUUAUUGUUGUUUCUGAUACUGUUGUUGUUGUUGUGGGAUUGAUGAAGCUGAGAGGAGUACGAAUUGAGCUUCUGAGAAUGAUCAGUAGUAGUAGUAGCAGUUUCUAGGGUUGUGGAGGUGGUGGUUUUAGUGAUUGCUGUUGUGUUCCUGAGAUGUGGAGGCACAUAAGACAUUGUUUGAUUGAUUGAGAUAGAGAGAGGGGGAGGGGAGUGAGAGUGAUGACUGAUGAGCUAUAAAGAAGAAGGAAUGGAGAUAUUUGGGAACCAGAGUAUAAAUGCCGCUCUUGGUGAACUCGCUAUCUUGCG
rnacentral:lncRNA from 1 species